rnacentral:rRNA from 1 species
GAUGAACGCUGGCGGCGUGCUUAACACAUGCAAGUCGAACGAAGCAUUUAAGACAGAUUCUUUGGGAUGAAGUUUUUAUGACUGAGUGGCGGACGGGUGAGUAACGCGUGGGUAACCUGCCUCACACAGGGGGAUAGCAGUUGGAAACGACUGGUAAUACCGCAUAAAGCACACAGCUUCGCAUGAAGCAGUGUGAAAAACUCCGGUGGUGUGAGAUGGACCCGCGUCUGAUUAGGUAGUUGGUGAGGUAACGGCCCACCAAGCCGACGAUCAGUAGCCGACCUGACGAGGGUGACCGGCCACAUUGGGACUGAGACACGGCCCAGACUCCUACGGGAGCAGCAGUGGGGAAUA